AGUGAACGCUGGCGGCGUGCCUAAUACAUGCAAGUCGAACGAAGUGGCGCACGGGUGAGUAAUAUAUAGUUAAUCUGCCCUCCACAGAGGAACAACAGUUGGAAACGACUGCUAAUACCUCCUAGUGUAGGCUGAGACUAUAUCGUAUCAGCUAGUUGGUAAGGUAAUGGCUUACCAAGGCUAUGACGCGUAACUGGUCUGAGAGGAUGAUCAGUAAAAUUGGAACUGAGACACCGUCCAAACUCAUACGGGAAUCAGCAGAAGGGUAUAGUGCGCAAGGGGGGAAUCCCUGACGGGGCAUCGCCUCGUGGAGGAUGAUACGUUGCGGAGCGGAAGCUCAUUUUAACAGGAAAGCGUUACCGGAUGAAGAAGCACCGGCUAACUCCGUGCCAGCAGCCGCGGUAAUAC
rnacentral:rRNA from 1 species